rnacentral:rRNA from 1 species
AACGAACGCUGGCGGCAUGCCUAAUACAUGCAAGUCGAACGCGAUGGGGCAACCCAUUGAGUGGCGGACGGGUGAGUAACGCGUGGGAACCUGCCCAUCGGUACGGAAUAACCUCGGGAAACUGAGGCUAAUACCGUAUGCGCCCCAUGAGGGAGACUUGUGGGGAAAGAUUAUCGCCGUUGGAGGGCCCGCGUCGGAUUAGGUAGUUGGUGAGGUAACGGCUCACCAAGCCUUCGAUCCGUAGCUGGUCUGAGAGGAUGAUCAGCCACACUGGGACUGAGACACGGCCCAGACUCCUACGGGAGGCAGCAGUGGGGAAUCUUGGACAAUGGGCGCAAGCCUGAUCCAGCCAUGCCGCGUGAGUG